rnacentral:rRNA from 1 species
GACGAACGCUGGCGGCGUGCUUAACACAUGCAAGUCGAACGAAGAGCGAUGGAAGCUUGCUUCUAUCUAUCUUAGUGGCGAACGGGUGAGUAACGCGUAAUCAACCUGCCCUUCAGAGGGGGACAACAGUUGGAAACGACUGCUAAUACCGCAUACGAUCUAAACUCGGCAUCGAGGAUAGAUGAAAGGUGGCCUCUACAUGUAAGCUAUCACUGAAGGAGGGGAAUGCGUCUGAUUAGCUAGUUGGUGGGGUAACGGCCCACCAAGGCGAUGAUCAGUAGCCGGUCUGAGAGGAUGAACGGCCACAUUGGGACUGAGACACGGCCCAGACUCCUACGGGAGGCAGCAGUGGGGAAUCUUCCGCAAUGGACGAAAGGCUGACGGGGCAACGCCGCGUGAGUGAUGACGGCCUUCGGGUUGGAAAGCUCUGUUAAUCGGGACGAAAGGCCUUCUUGCGAAUAGUGAGAAGGAUUGACGGUACCGGAAUAGAAAGCCACGGCUAACUACGUG